GACGAACGCUGGCGGCGUGCUUAACACAUGCAGGUCGAACGGAAAGGCCCUGCUUUUGUGGGGUGCUCGAGUGGCGAACGGGUGAGUAACACGUGAGUAACCUGCCCUUGACUUUGGGAUAACUUCAGGAAACUGGGGCUAAUACCGGAUAGGAGCUCCUGCUGCAUGGUGGGGGUUGGAAAGUUUCGGCGGUUGGGGAUGGACUCGCGGCUUAUCAGCUUGUUGGUGGGGUAGUGGCUUACCAAGGCUUUGACGGGUAGCCGGCCUGAGAGGGUGACCGGCCACAUUGGGACUGAGAUACGGCCCAGACUCCUACGGGAGGCAACAGUGGGGAAUAUUGCACAAUGGGCGGAAGCCUGAUGCAGCAACGCCGCGUGCGGGAUGACGGCCUUCGGGUUGUAAACCGCUUUCGCCUGUGACGAAGCGUGAGUGACGGUAAUGGGUAAAGAAGCACCGGCUAACUACGU
rnacentral:rRNA from 1 species